AAAUUGAAGAGUUUGAUCAUGGCUCAGAUUGAACGCUGGCGGCAGGCCUAACACAUGCAAGUCGAACGGUAACAGGAAGCAGCUUGCUGCUUCGCUGACGAGUGGCGGACGGGUGAGUAAUGUCUGGGAAACUGCCUGAUGGAGGGGGAUAACUACUGGAAACGGUGGCUAAUACCGCAUAACGUCGCAAGACCAAAGAGGGGGACCUUCGGGCCUCUUGCCAUCAGAUGUGCCCAGAUGGGAUUAGCUUGUUGGUGAGGUAACGGCUCACCAAGGCGACGAUCCCUAGCUGGUCUGAGAGGAUGACCAGCCACACUGGAACUGAGACACGGUCCAGACUCCUACGGGAGGCAGCAGUGGGGAAUAUUGCACAAUGGGCGCAAGCCUGAUGCAGCCAUGCCGCGUGUAUGAAGAAGGCCUUCGGGUUGUAAAGUACUUUCAGCGGGGAGGAAGGUGUUGUGGUUAAUAACCGCAGCAAUUGACGUUACCCGCAGAAGAAGCACCGGCUAACUCCGUGCCAGCAGCCGCGGUAAUACGGAGGGUGCAAGCGUUAAUCGGAAUUACUGGGCGUAAAGCGCACGCAGGCGGUCUGUCAAGUCGGAUGUGAAAUCCCCGGGCUCAACCUGGGAACUGCAUUCGAAACUGGCAGGCUUGAGUCUUGUAGAGGGGGGUAGAAUUCCAGGUGUAGCGGUGAAAUGCGUAGAGAUCUGGAGGAAUACCGGUGGCGAAGGCGGCCCCCUGGACAAAGACUGACGCUCAGGUGCGAAAGCGUGGGGAGCAAACAGGAUUAGAUACCCUGGUAGUCCACGCCGUAAACGAUGUCUACUUGGAGGUUGUGCCCUUGAGGCGUGGCUUCCGGAGCUAACGCGUUAAGUAGACCGCCUGGGGAGUACGGCCGCAAGGUUAAAACUCAAAUGAAUUGACGGGGGCCCGCACAAGCGGUGGAGCAUGUGGUUUAAUUCGAUGCAACGCGAAGAACCUUACCUGGUCUUGACAUCCACAGAAGAAUCCAGAGAUGGAUUUGUGCCUUCGGGAACUGUGAGACAGGUGCUGCAUGGCUGUCGUCAGCUCGUGUUGUGAAAUGUUGGGUUAAGUCCCGCAACGAGCGCAAC
rnacentral:rRNA from 3 species